GGCGCCGGCUUCUCCUUCAGCAGCUUCCAAAUGUUCUGGGUGCGACAGGCGCCCGGGAAGGGGCUCAAGGCUGUUGCGGUUAUUAACAACGAUGGUAGUAGCACAAACUACGCGCCAGCGGUGCAAGGGCGCUUCACCAUCUCCAGGGACAACUCCCAGAGCACGCUCACGCUGCAGAUGAACAGCCUCAGGGCCGACGACACGGCCACCUACUACUGCGCCAAAGCUG